rnacentral:rRNA from 1 species
GUCCAAGCUGUAAAUUAUGUUUGCUAGGUGUCUUCGAUUCUUUCGGGGGUGCCGCAACCUAACGGGUUAAGCAAAUCGCCUGGGUAGUAUAUUCGCAAGAAUGAAACUCAAAGGGAUAGGCGGGGAACACACAAGCAGUGGAUUAUCUAGAUUAAUUGGAUACAAAGCCAAGAAUCUUACCUGGACUUGACAUGCAAUGUGUCAUAUAUGAAAGUAUAUUAUUUGUAGCAAUACAAAACUUUGCACAGGUGGUGCAUGGUCGUCGU